GAUGAACGCUGGCGGCGUGCCUAAUACAUGCAAGUCGAGCGAACAGACGAGGAGCAUGCUCCUCUGACGUUAGCGGCGGACGGGUGAGUAACACGUGGAUAACCUACCUAUAAGACUGGGAUAACUUCGGGAAACCGGAGCUAAUACCGGAUAAUAUAUUGAACCGCAUGGUUCAAUAGUGAAAGACGGUUUUGCUGUCACUUAUAGAUGGAUCCGCGCCGCAUUAGCUAGUUGGUAAGGUAACGGCUUACCAAGGCAACGAUGCGUAGCCGACCUGAGAGGGUGAUCGGCCACACUGGAACUGAGACACGGUCCAGACUCCUACGGGAGGCAGCAGUAGGGAAUCUUCCGCAAUGGGCGAAAGCUUGACGGAGCAACGCCGCGUGAGUGAUGAAGGUCUUCGGAUCGUAAAACUCUGUUAUUAGGGAAGAACAAAUGUGUAAGUAACUAUGCACGUCUUGACGGUACCUAAUCAGAAAGCCACGGCUAACUACGUG
rnacentral:rRNA from 1 species